UUUAAUUAUAAAGUUACCUUAUAUUUUACAUUACCAGAAUAUCAGUAUUAAAGUAUUUUUCACCUUUUUACCGCACUUUUAUAUAUACGAUCAACUAAAAAGUUACUGAAAUUACGACCGAUGUUGUUUAAGAAGGGACUUUCCCAAGGAAAAUUUCCUCGAAUAUUCUUGAAAUACAUAGGCAGCGUUUACACUGUACCGUUUUCGUAGCGUUCUCGUAUUGUUCUUAAUCCUCAAGGGAACGCAAGACAAUAGUCUAGUUCUCUCGAACAAUACGAGAACGCUACGAAAACGGUACAGUGUAAACGCUGCCAUAGUGUAUCAAAAAAGAAACUGAACAGAUUUGAAAUUGCUCUCCGCAAUUUCGCAAAACAGCUAUUAGUAUCCAGUUUUUGAUAUACAGGGUGUAUAAAAAAAAACUGAACAGAUUUGAAAUUCCUCUC